ACAGGGCAAGAAAAGACUCCAAAUUUUACAAAAGUUAAAAUGAAAGACUGGUGCAUUGUGCAGUUCAACACUGGUGGUACAGAAAUUGUCCCUAGUUCAUGGUUAAAUGGGAAGAAAUUGUCAUGGCCUCCAUAUCCUCCGCGAGACACAUUUAGGAUCCACGCCGCAGUAAAGAGGAGAGUUCAUCCUGGUGCAACAUGGCUCACCUAUGCACCAGUCCGGCUUCUCAUAAGCCAUGGUGGGUAUCAUCUAGAUUGGUAUUGUAUAAAUGUAACUAUAACAAGUUUUUCGUGUUCUACUUUUUGUGUGGCCAUACAUUGUGUUUGUACUUCCAGACACAUUUCAAGAAGCCGAACGCAGUCUCCAGAAAUAUCUCAGUGAACACUGUGAUACAUCUGACCUUCAGUCCGAAGCUGAAAGUCAGACCACUCUUAAACAUAUCUUUGAUUGUUCAGAAUUUAUAAUUUUGUCUUUUGUACAUAUCUGUGAUGCUUGAAUACUGCAAUAUAACCACAUAAAAUGGUCCAAAAAGUGUAAGUUGGUAAACUUUUUAAAAAUGCAAAGCCGUGUACACUUGUGCACUUCAAAAAUUCAUUGUAUACUGCACCUUCGUGCACAUCUCCGUUUCCUGUGUGUGUGUUGUUACAAAUCAAAGUGUACAAAAUAUGCCAAACGCAGAUUUGUAAUUACUUAUGAACUGUUUCUACUUAUUUCUUUAGACCAAAUCCCCUGUACACGUAUAGUGACUCAGAGGAUGAGCAGCCCACAAAAAAAAGGUUUCCCCAGGCCCCUCGAGUGAAAAUACCAGCCCUCAACGCUUCGCAGUCUUCCCCCCAGCCCACUGACAGCAGACAUCAUAAUGCCCCUCCCAGCUUCCGGCACCUUUCGCCACUCUGGGAGAACAUUCCGAACGACACACCUUUACAAUCUCCCCAGCAUGCAGAGUCUGAUGUUGAGGCCUUCCCUAUAGAUGAUUCCAGAGACUCUGUGAGGCCACUAUUACAAGAUGCGACCGCACAAAAGUUUUUAACAAUGCUGUCAGACCUGACGAGAUCUGUCAACGAACUGCGUGAGGAGGUCAGAGCCAUCCGCAAUACCGGCUCAAAUGAAUCUCUAGAUGCUGGGGUACUCCCUUUGGAUUUGCCCUUAAACAGCAUUGAGGAGCUAAACCAUGCAGAGGCAGCUCUUACGUCGCAAGAGGCAAUUAAGGCAAUGGUGAGACGGUUUGCCUUGAUUGGAGGGACCACACUUGAGGUGCGAGUCCGCCGUGUAAUGGCUUAUGCCAUUACAAAUGAGCUGGCCUCACUACUAAACUGGGCAGGGAAAAAAACAAAGGACCACACGAAGCAAAAAAGGGCAUUUAAAGAUACUGCGCUGUGCAGAUGCAUAUUUGAUGGCCUGACGCAGCAAUUAGGGGCAAACUCGAUGUCAGAGUUUCUCUUUGCACAGGCAGUGCAGAAGUGGCUACGGUACGCCCCAGACCGUUUGGGUGGUGCAGGACGCACAUCAUCCGUCCCCAUCCCAGAGGAGCAGUAAAAACUACAAAGUUAUAUUAAAAUAUAAAUGUAAAAUAGAAAACUGUGUUUAAAUAAAGUAUUUAGCAAACAAAACAUGUCUAUUGAGCUUUUUUGUUUAGUUUUUUUUGUCUCUGUUACAUCACAUGCAAUGCUUUCUUAUUUUAGGAUAUUAAUAUUGACAUGAUACAUUGUGAGACAUUUGAUUUUUAUAAAGGGUGUCCAGUUUGAGGAUUCAGUGCAAUUAUGUGUUUAGGUGGUUUAAGUGUUGAUGGAAACAUGCAGUAGUUUAGUAUGGUUAAAAUAACUAUAAAGCAAGGUAGAUUUCCAGUCAUGAUUUAACUGUUGUUUUAAUUUUAAAAAAAAAAUGCAAAAGAGGUGGAAAAUCAACACCAUAGCUCAACAGUGUUUCAAUAUCAGAGUCUGACAUUGUUUCAAUGUCAAGAGUAUUAGAAAAUAUAACGUUGAAUCAAUGUCAGGUUUCAACAUUGAUUCAACAUCAAAACCUGACGUUGUUUCAACGUUAAAAAUGGGUGCAAGAGUGACGUUGGGUCAACGUCGCACUUCAACGUUGCUUCAAUGACGUCGCCUGAUAUUGACUCAACAUCGUUUCAAUGUUUCCUUGCUAUCUGGGGUAGGAGGCGGAGUCGCGUCGUACAUGUUUUCUACAGUCAAUGGGAGAAACUCCACACUGAUGAAAAAUGAAAAAAGAGAGUGUAGGAAAGCUGAGCGCAGAUGGAGAAAAACAAACUUCCAGGUUCAUUAUGACAUCUAUAAAGAGAAACUUCACAAUUAUAAUUUACAACUGAGGAGUGCAAGGAGGCCCUACUUCUCUGACAUCAUCACCAAAAAAAGUCAUAAUGCUCGGGUCUUAUUUGCUACAGUUGACAGGUGUAAGGAAGGAAGUAUUAUUGUUUUUUUGUUAUUUUUAUUAUUUCCAUUUAUUAUUUUAUUUUUAUUAAUUCUAUUUUUAUUAUUUUGUUAUUACUGUUGCAUCAUAAUCAUAUAGCAAGCAUUUGCAUUGACACAUUGAACAUAUUGGCACCCAAUUAAUUAGUCUUUAUUACAGGUUCAGUGAGAACCAAAUGUAGAGUAUAUGGAUAUUUUGCUGCUAUUAUUUGCUGCUAUUUUUUUUAUUUUUUAUAAUCAUCAUUACCAUUCCAUUAAUAACACUAUUGAUAUUGCAUUCAGAUGUUCAAACAUAUUGGUAUCAUAUUAGCCUUUAUUACAGGUCCAGUAAGAACCACGUUAAACUGUUGAGUUGAAUCUAUAAUCCUAAAUGCUUUUGAAUGGUUUUUAUACUCUUGUGAAAGACUGAGUUGCAGGCUGACAGGACACGCCAUGCUUUGCAAAAGUGAAACUGAAAGCAGAGUCUGAGUGCAAGUAUUUUGAGCAGGUUAUGAACAAUCAGGUUAUUAUUUAGUAUCUUUUAUGUAUCUAUAUCUUUUGAUUAAGCUUUUAGUAGAGGUUCUUGAUUAAAACAUUUAUUCAGUAGAUUACAUAUACAUAGUUUCAGUUCGGUUAUUACAUAUAUGAGAGUGGCUUCUGUCUCUCUGUCUGGUGAGAGGUCAGGAGCUAGUCGCCGAGGUGAAAUAGGGUGCAACUGUGGUUAGCACCCUAUUUGGUUAGCACAUACACACACAUACAAGUUAGAGAGAAUCAUUUGUAGGUGAAAGUUUGAGCAUGCUUGCUGUGACUGUGUUCCUGUGUGUACGUGACUGUUUGAUGAAGAAGCAGGUGCACGAUGCGAGAGCUGAGUUGGCUUGCGGGAAACCACCAGGGAGAAGAUGGAA
ensembl:lncRNA